GCAAGUCGAGCGGAUGAAAGAGAGCUUGCUCUCUGGAUUCAGCGGCGGACGGGUGAGUAACACGUGGGCAACCUGCCUGUAAGACUGGGAUAACUCCGGGAAACCGGGGCUAAUACCGGAUAACUUCUUUUCCCGCAUGGGGAGAGGUUGAAAGACGGUUAUGCUGUCACUUACAGAUGGGCCCGCGGCGCAUUAGCUAGUUGGUGGGGUAACGGCCUACCAAGGCGACGAUGCGUAGCCGACCUGAGAGGGUGAUCGGCCACACUGGGACUGAGACACGGCCCAGACUCCUACGGGAGGCAGCAGUAGGGAAUCUUCCGCAAUGGACGAAAGUCUGACGGAGCAACGCCGCGUGAGUGACGAAGGCCUUCGGGUCGUAAAACUCUGUUAUCAGGGAAGAACAAGCAUCGUUUAACUGACGGUGCCAUGACGGUACCUGACCAGAAAGCCACGGCUAACUACGUGCCAGCAGCCGCGGUAAUACGUAGGUGGCAAGCGUUGUCCGGAAUUAUUGGGCGUAAAGCGCGCGCAGGCGGCUUCUUAAGUCUGAUGUGAAAGCCCACGGCUCAACCGUGGAGGGUCAUUGGAAACUGGGAGGCUUGAGUGCAGAAGAGGAGAGCGGAAUUCCACGUGUAGCGGUGAAAUGCGUAGAGAUGUGGAGGAACACCAGUGGCGAAGGCGGCUCUCUGGUCUGUAACUGACGCUGAGGCGCGAAAGCGUGGGUAGCGAACAGGAUUAGAUACCCUGGUAGUCCACGCCGUAAACGAUGAGUGCUAAGUGUUAGGGGGUUUCCGCCCCUUAGUGCUGCAGCAAACGCAUUAAGCACUCCGCCUGGGGAGUACGGCCGCAAGGCUGAAACUCARAGGAAUUGACGGGGGCCCGCACAAGCGGUGGAGCAUGUGGUUUAAUUCGAAGCAACGCGAAGAACCUUACCAGGUCUUGACAUCCCGCUGACCGGUCUGGAGACAGAUCUUUCCCUUCGGGGACAGCGGUGACAGGUGGUGCAUGGUU
rnacentral:rRNA from 1 species